UACGUAGGUGUCGAGCGUUAUCCGGAAUUACUGGGCGUAAAGGGCACGCAGGCGGCUCUUCAAGUCCCAUGUGAAAGCUCCCGGCUUAACCGGGAGAGGUCGUGGGAAACUGAGGGGCUUGAGGCAGAGAGAGGAAGGCGAAAUUCCCGGUGGAGUGGUGGAAUGCGUAGAGAUCGGGAAGAACAUCGGUGGCGAAAGCGGCCUUCUGGCUUUGGCCUGACGCUGAGGUGCGAAAGCGUGGGGAGCAAACAGG
rnacentral:misc_RNA from 1 species